rnacentral:rRNA from 1 species
GAUGAACGCUGGCGGCGUGCCUAAUACAUGCAAGUCGAGCGAAUGGAUUAAGAGCUUGCUCUUAUGAAGUUAGCGGCGGACGGGUGAGUAACACGUGGGUAACCUGCCCAUAAGACUGGGAUAACUCCGGGAAACCGGGGCUAAUACCGGAUAACAUUUUGAACCGCAUGGUUCGAAAUUGAAAGGCGGCUUCGGCUGUCACUUAUGGAUGGACCCGCGUCGCAUUAGCUAGUUGGUCAGGUAAAAGCUCACCAAGGCAACGAUGCGUAGCCCACCUGAGAGGGUGAUCGGCCACACUGGGACUGAGACACGGCCCAGACUCCUACGGGAGGCAGCAGUAGGGAAUCUUCCGCAAUGGACGAAAGUCUGACGGAGCAACGCCGCGUGAGUGAUGAAGGCUUUCGGGUCGUAAAACUCUGUUGUUAGGGAAGAACAAGUGCUAGUUGAAUAAGCUGGCACCUUGACGGUACCUAACCAGAAAGCCACGGCUAACUACGUGCCAGCCGCCGCAGUAA